rnacentral:snRNA from 1 species
CUCGCUUCUCGGCCUUCUGGCUAAGAUAAGUGUAGUAUCUGUUCUUAUCAGUUUAAUA